GGCCUAAUACAUGCAAGUCGAACGAUACCAGAGAGCUUGCUUUCUGGGAAAGUGGCGCACGGGUGCGUAACGCGUAUGCAACCUACCUUAAUCAGGGGGAUAGCCUCUCGAAAGAGAGAUUAACACCGCAUAAAAUCACGUUUCGGCAUCGAAGCAUGAUCAAAUAUUUAUAGGAUUAAGAUGGGCAUGCGUGACAUUAGCUAGUUGGUAAGGUAACGGCUUACCAAGGCUACGAUGUCUAGGGGAUCUGAGAGGAUGACCCCCCACACUGGUACUGAGACACGGACCAGACUCCUACGGGAGGCAGCAGUAAGGAAUAUUGGUCAAUGGAGGCAACUCUGAACCAGCCAUGCCGCGUGCAGGAAGACGGCCCUACGGGUUGUAAACUGC
rnacentral:rRNA from 1 species